rnacentral:rRNA from 1 species
UACAGAGGGUGCGAGCGUUGUCCGGAAUCACUGGGCUAAAGCGCGUGUAGGCGGGUCGCGCGUCGGUCGCUGAAAUCCCCCGGCUCAACCGGGGAAGCGGCGCCGAUACGGCCGGCCUGGAGGGACGUAGGGGGGGCUGGAACUUCCGGUGGAGCGGUGAAAUGCGUAGAGAUGCGGAGGAACACCGAUGGCGAAGGCAGCCCCCUGGGCUAACAC